rnacentral:rRNA from 1 species
UACGAAGGGGGCUAGCGUUGCUCGGAAUUACUGGGCGUAAAGCGCACGUAGGCGGCUUUCUAAGUCGGGGGUGAAAUCCUGGAGCUCAACUCCAGAACUGCCUUCGAUACUGGAGAGCUCGAGUCCGGGAGAGGUGAGUGGAACUGCGAGUGUAGAGGUGAGAUUCGUAGAUAUUCGCAGGAACACCAGUGGCGAAGGCGGCUCACUGGCCCGGUACUGACGCUGAGGUGCGAAAGCGUGGGGAUCAAACAGG